AAUGAUUACUUCAGGACCCAGCCUUGUCUGUUUGAUUCAUUUUUAAGAGAGUUUUUCAUUCCUACAACUUCUGCAUAGAUUGCUUUGUUAGGCCCGACUAAUCGACUAGAUGGAGAUCUCACAGGCUCGCGGCUAUGGUUGUAUAUGCUUCAAUAACCACAAUUUUUUGCCCAAAUGUUUCCUGCCGAUGGCAGUAUUCCUCAGAUCUUCAACUAUUGCUGCAGGAGCGCAUGCAUAGAAGAAGAAAAGCAUAAAGAUGCAUUAAAGACUAAUGGUCAAUUUCUAAAUGUUGCAUCUCGUUCUUGUUCUGACUCACUGAUCAAAAGAGCAACCAAACCUUUCUCCUUCACUCCCCGCUAGUAAGUCCCAAAAUAAACUAAACAAAAGUUUGGGCAUCAAAUUAAUCCCACUUCCCAAUAUCCAUCUCCCUCCGUCUUCUAUAUCUCCUACUGCUCUCCCUGUUAUCUGACAGACAAGCUGUACAUGAAGUGCUCUAUUUGGUGGUUGCCUGAAGCAAAGAACCAUUGGUAUUUCAAUUGGAUAGGAGAGUGGUUUGAUUACUCUUCUGUUUAUUAGUCCCAAUUGGUUGCAUCCGCCAUGUGUGCCACGAAAUUAGCUUGAUCUAGCUUCUAGUGUAGCUAGCUGGACUAUGCAGCUAUCUAAUUGGAAUUCAGAACUAGCAAUUUGGUAGUUGCAACAAAUCAGGGAUUCAGUAUAAAGCUUGAAGGUGUUCUUAUGUAUUCAAGCUUGCUCUCCUUAGUACAGGGACAUCUUUGCCUCCAAAAUAAUAUAGUGAUAGCUCUGCAAAUCGCAGAAAAAAAACGUUGGCUCCAAGUUCUUCCAUUGUCCUGUCCAAAUUGUAAUAUCUUGAUGAGAUGAAUCAUGAUCUAAGAAUCCGGAUUCUGAUUUGAAGGAGUACAGAAAAAAAUCAAAUAAACUUAUGUAUUCAAAUAAAAUUCAAAAGAAAUUCCAG
rnacentral:lncRNA from 1 species